rnacentral:rRNA from 1 species
AGUGAACGCUGGCGGUAGGCCUAACACAUGCAAGUCGAGCGGCAGCACAGUAAGAGCUUGCUCUUACGGGUGGCGAGUGGCGGACGGGUGAGGAAUACAUCGGAAUCUACUUUUUCGUGGGGGAUAACGUAGGGACACUUACGCUACUACCGCAUACUACCUACGGGUGAAAGCAGGGGAUCUUCGGACCUUGCGCGAUUGAAUGAGCUGAUGUCGGAUUAGCUAGUUGGCGGGGUAAAGGCCCACCAAGGCGACGAUCCGUAGCUGGUCUGAGAGGAUGAUCAGCCACACUGGAACUGAGACACGGUCCAGACUCCUACGGGAGGCAGCAGUGGGGAAUAUUGCACAAUGGGCGAAAGCCUGAUCCAGCCAUACCGCGUGGGUGAAGAAGGCCUUCGGGUUGUAAAGCCCUUUUGUUGGGAAAGAAAAGCAGCAGGUUAAUACCCCGCUGUUCUGACGGUACCCAAAGAAUAAGCACCGGCUAACUUCGUG